AGUGAACGCUGGCGGUAGGCCUAACACACGCAAGUCGAACGGCAGCACAGUAAGAGCUUGCUCUUACGGGUGGCGAGUGGCGGACGGGUGAGGAAUACAUCGGAAUCUACUUUUUCGUGGGGGAUAACGUAGGGAAACUUACGCUAAUACCGCAUACGACCUACGGGUGAAAGCAGGGGAUCUUCGGACCUUGCGCGAUUGAAUGAGCCGAUGUAGGAUUAGCUAGUUGGCGGGGUAAAGGCCCACCAAGGCGACGAUCCGUAGCUGGUCUGAGAGGAUGAUCAGCCACACUGGAACUGAGACACGUUCCAGACUCCUACGGGAGGCAGCAGUGGGGAAUAUUGGACAAUGGGCGCAAGCCUGAUCCAGCCAUACCGCGUGGGUGAAGAAGGCCUUCGGGUUGUAAAGCCCUUUUGUUGGGAAAGAAAAGCAGCAGGUUAAUACCCCGCUGUUCUGACGGUACCCAAAGAAUAAGCACCGGCUAACUUCGUG
rnacentral:rRNA from 1 species